AUCGGCAAGUACUUGUCUGGUGCCCACCCUGACAUACUGGAUCCAAUGCACCACGAGAUGAUUCCCACUAAAUAAAUGAAUAAACAGGAGUCGCACUUUUUUUUUUUGAACGACUUAACAGGAGUUACACUUUUUAUCUAUUUUUUCUUUAAUAACUGCACACUUUUUUAUCGCUUAACCAAUAUCUAUUUCUAUUAUUAUAUUUUUCUGUCUGGAGCUCCACUUGUCUGUAACUGUAGAAUGUUCCCAUGCUUGUAUAGUAUUUGUCUUUAUAUUUCUAGUAACAAGUCACAUUCAAACAAGCUCAUGAUUCCAAUUUCCAACUCGCACGACGCAUAUCAUAUCAGUUUUAGCCCAUGAUUCCCGAGAAGUGUCGUACAUCCAGAUAAAACAUUCGCAUUAUUCCAUAAUUUUUAAAAAAUAUUAUACAUAAUUCGCAUGAUUCCUAAAUUGUCAAACAAAAUCUUUUACUAAAAUUCACCUAAAAUAGCUAUGGUCCCGUAAAACUCAGCUUCGGCUCUGUUCCUGAGAAACCAAUCACUAGCAGUGACAAAAUACUACGCAAUUUGUACAAACUUUACUGCUACGACAUUUCAACUCAUUACACAUGUAAGCUUGUUACUCGACCAUUGACUUUUAUCAAUGCAUGUGCCAAGAGAUGAUAAGAGCCACUCAACAAGUCAUCGUCUUUCAAUAUGCAAACACUCCAAACAUUUGAUACAUAUUCAUGUAGCGUAACAAGUUUUAAAAACUUCUAAAAUCAGUAAA